AUGUCUUCUCGGGGCCAUGAGAUUCAUUUGCCAAGAGGGAGGUCAAGAUUUUGGUGUCCUAUCAGAUUAUCUUUUGUUAACUCCUAUAUUUCUAGGGUGUGGCGAGAGGGCAGACAUGAAAAAUGUGUUGGAGAAAUGAAUAACCGCAACCCAAUCUGGGUGUUCUUUCUGUUCUGUCAAGACUUUACCCACUUUCACUCAAGGCACCUGAGUGCACCCACAAAUCAAACUCAGAAGAAUGGUAAUGUGGAAGAAAGAAGAUUAAGUUAA
rnacentral:lncRNA from 12 species